rnacentral:rRNA from 1 species
GACGUAGGGUGCCAGCGUUGCUCGGAAUUACUGGGUGUAAAGGGUUCGUAGGCGGUGUGGCAAGUCGGGAGUGAAAUCUCUGAGCUUAACUCAGGGCCUGCUUCCGAAACUGCUGUGCUAGAGUGUGGGAGAGGCGCGUGGAAUUGCAGGUGUAGCGGUGAAAUGCGUAGAUAUCUGCAGGAACACCCGUGGCGAAAGCGGCGCGCUGGACCACUACUGACGCUGAGGAACGAAAGCUAGGGGAGCAAACAGG